UGGGGAAUCUUGGACAAUGGGCGCAAGCCUGAUCCAGCCAUGCCGCGUGAGCGAUGAAGGCCUUAGGGUUGUAAAGCUCUUUCACCGGUGAAGAUAAUGACGGUAGCCGGAGAAGAAGCCCCGGCUAACUCCGUGCCAGCAGCCGCGGUAAUACGGAGGGGGCUAGCGUUGUUCGGAAUUACUGGGCGUAAAGAGCUCGUAGGCGGUCCGUUGCGUCUGCCGUGAAAACCCGGAGCUCAACUCCGGGCCUGCGGUGGAUACGGGCGGACUAGAGUCCGGUAGGGGAGACUGGAAUUCCUGGUGUAGCGGUGGAAUGCGCAGAUAUCAGGAGGAACACCGGUGGCGAAGGCGGGUCUCUGGGCCGGAACUGACGCUGAGGAGCGAAAGCGUGGGGAGCGAACAGGAUUAGAUACCCUGGUAGUCCACACCGUAAACGAUGAAUGCCAGUCGUCGGGUAGCAUGCUAUUCGGUGACACACCUAACGGAUUAAGCAUUCCGCCU
rnacentral:rRNA from 1 species